rnacentral:rRNA from 1 species
UGAACGCUGGCGGCAGGCCUAACACAUGCAAGUCGAGCGGAUGAAGGGAGCUUGCUCCUGGCUUCAGCGGCGGACGGGUGAGUAAUGCCUAGGAAUCUGCCUGGUAGUGGGGGAUAACGUCCGGAAACGGGCGCUAAUACCGCAUACGUCCUGAGGGAGAAAGUGGGGGAUCUUCGGACCUCACGCUAUCAGAUGAGCCUAGGUCGGAUUAGCUAGUUGGUGGGGUAAAGGCCUACCAAGGUGACGAUCCGUAACUGGUCUGAGAGGAUGAUCAGUCACACUGGAACUGAGACACGGUCCAGACUCCUACGGGAGGCAGCAGUGGGGAAUAUUGGACAAUGGGCGAAAGCCUGGUCCAGCCAUGCCGCGUGUGUGAAGAAGGUCUUCGGAUUGUAAAGCACUUUAAGUUGGGAGGAAGGGCAGUAAGUUAAUACCUUGCUGUUUUGACGUUACCAACAGAAUAAGCACCGGCUAACUUCGUG